rnacentral:tRNA from 1 species
UUUAAUGUGGCAGAAAAGUGCUAUGGACUUAAGCCCCAUCUAUGAAGGAAUUUUAAUUACCUUCCAUUAAAA